rnacentral:rRNA from 1 species
GAUGAACGCUGGCGGCGUGCCUAAUACAUGCAAGUCGAGCGAACAGACGAGGAGCUUGCUCCUCUGACGUUAGCGGCGGACGGGCGAGUAACACGUGGAUAACCUACUUAUAAGACGGGGAUAACUACGGGAAACCGGAGCUAAUACUGGAUAAUAUAUUGAACCGCAUGGUGCAAUAGUGAAAGACGGUUUUGCUGUCACUUAUAGAUGGAUCCGCGCCGCAUUAGCUAGUUGGUAAGGUAACGGCGUACCAAGGCAACGAUGCGUAGCCGACCUGAGAGGGUGAUCGGCCACACUGGAACUGAGACACGGUCCAGACUCCUACGGGAGGCAGCAGUAGGGAAUCUUCCACAAUGGGCGAAAGCUUGACGGAGCAAUGCCGCGUGAGUGAUGAAGGCCUUCGGGUCGUAAAACUCUGUUAUUGGGAAAGAACAAAUGUGUAAGUAACUAUGCACGUCUUGACGGUACCUAAUCAAAAAGCCACGGCUAACUACGUG